UACGGAGGGUGCAAGCGUUAUCCGGAUUUACUGGGUUUAAAGGGUGCGUAGGUGGGCCUGUAAGUCAGUGGUGAAAUCUCCGGGCUUAACCCGGAAACUGCCAUUGAUACUAUAGGUCUUGAAUUAUCUGGAGGUGAGCGGAAUAUGUCAUGUAGCGGUGAAAUGCUUAGAUAUGACAUAGAACACCAAUUGCGAAGGCAGCUCACUACGGAUAUAUUGACACUGAGGCAC
rnacentral:rRNA from 1 species